rnacentral:rRNA from 1 species
CCUACGGGUGGCAGCAGUGAGGAAUAUUGGUCAAUGGACGAGAGUCUGAACCAGCCAAGUAGCGUGAAGGAUGACUGCCCUAUGGGUUGUAAACUUCUUUUAUAUGGGAAUAAAAUGUUCCACGUGUGGGAUUUUGUAUGUACCAUAUGAAUAAGGAUCGGCUAACUCCGUGCCAGCAGCCGCGGUAAUACGGAGGAUCCGAGCGUUAUCCGGAUUUAUUGGGUUUAAAGGGAGCGUAGGUGGAUUGUUAAGUCAGUUGUGAAAGUUUGCGGCUCAACCGUAAAAUUGCAGUUGAAACUGGCAGUCUUGAGUACAGUAGAGGUGGGCGGAAUUCGUGGUCUAGCGGUGAAAUGCUUAGAUAUCACGAAGAACUCCGAUUGCGAAGGCAGUUCACUGGACUGCAACUGACACUGAGGCUCGAAAGUGUGGGUAUCAAACAGGAUUAGAUACCCGAGUAGUC